rnacentral:rRNA from 1 species
CCUACGGGAGGCAGCAGUGGGGGAUAUUGCACAAUGGGGGGAACCCUGAUGCAGCGACGCCGCGUGGGUGAAGAAGCGCCUCGGCGCGUAAAGCCCUGUCAGCAGGGAAGAAAAUGACGGUACCUGAAGAAGAAGCCCCGGCUAACUACGUGCCAGCAGCCGCGGUAAUACGUAGGGGGCAAGCGCUAUCCGGAUUUACUGGGUGGAAAGGGGGCGGAGACGGCGAUGCAAGCAGGGUGUGAAAGCCCGGGGCCCAACCCCGGGACUGCUCUUGGGACUGGGGGGCUGGAGUGCAGGAGGGGCAGGCGGAAUUCCUGGUGUAGCGGUGAAAUGCGUAGAGAUCAGGAGGAACACCGGUGGCGAAGGCGGCCUGCUGGACUGCAACUGACGUUGAGGCCCGAAAGCGUGGGGAGCAAACAGGAUUAGAUACCCCAGUAGUC